UUGGCAGAUUCAGCAAUACGAUAAUAAAGGAUCUAAUCAUAAAUUGUCAAAAAGCAUCUUCUAUAUGAGGACCAUUACUGUGAUCAAGCAACUGACACUAUCUCAUGUAGCUCAUGGAGUUGGAGAAGGAAUCAAGGCUUUCUAUGAUAUCAAGUAUUUCGAAGAAUGUGUGACCUAUGGAGACGGGGAGGAGGUGGAGAAGUACUUAUCAUGAUUCACAAAUGCAGAGGAUAAUCCUGAAUCUUUUAGCAUUUUCUUUGAGAUUAGAAGGCAGAAUUAUUAUGAAGCACAUGACAAGAGUGAUCGUAAAAUGAUGCUGGACAUUCUUAAAAGAGACCUCAAAUUUGGAUGAUUUGCAAUUGGUAACUCAGUAUUGGAAGUGAAGCUUCUUAGAAUGGUAUGAGCAAAAGAAUGCCUUUAAUUGCCCCCUAUAAACUGAGGCAAAAUGCGAUGCUUGGAUUUGAAAUUGAGGCAAAAAUGUUGUUCCGAGGUCAAAAUCAAGCAUUCUGGAUACAGAGAGUGCUGAACCAGAAAAUUUGAAGGUGGAAGGAGUGGUUGAUUUGUUUUCAAAAUAAUGCAUGUGCAGACUAUAUAAAAGGAUUCAUCUCAAAUCAGUUGAAUGAUUAAGUUGCCCGCUGUGCUUAUAUUCUUUCUAUUCUGUCAUGUCUUCUUUGUACUCUGUAGAAUUUUUCAAUCUGGGCUUUUCUGGUACUUGUACGAUUUUUUAAACUUUGUAAGAGUGUGUGAUGUGGAUGUAUAUGAAGCAAAACCACAUUGGUAUUAAGUAUAUGACAUAUUUUUCCGGAAAGCAAGAGAAGCUUUCGGACCAUGGAGAUGAGAAGUCAGCCGGGAUCCUACUGAUGGCUAAGCUUAAGCAGUUGAUUGAGGCAAAUCCACUAAUUGGUGAUAAGCUUCAGCUUCCUAUCUUGCAGAAGUCAAGACUAGAAACACUAGUCAAACUGAGCUUAGGUUGGUAGAUUCAGCAAUGCGAUACUAAAGGAUCUAAUCAUAAACUGUCCAAGAAUCUUCAAUAUGAGGACCCUUACUGUGAGGAAGCAACUGACACCAUCCCCUGUAGCUCAUGGAGUUGGAGAAUGAAUCAAGGCUUUUCUUUGAUAUCAAGUAUUUCUAAGAAUGUGUGAGCAAUGGAGACUGGGAGGAGGCGGAGAAGUGCUUAUCACGGUUCACAAAUGCAGAGGAUAACCCCAAAUCCUUUAGCAUUUUCUUUGAGAUCAGAAGGCAGAAUUAUUAUGAAGCACAUGACAAAAACCAAGAGAAGCUUUCUGACCAUGGAGAUGAUAAUUCAACCAAGAUCCUACUGAUGGCUAAGCUGAAGCGGUUGAUUGAGGCAAAUCCACUCAUUGGUGACAAGCUUCAGCUUCCUACCUUGUAGAUGUCAAGACUAGAAACACUAUUCAAACAGAGCUCAUGUUGGCAGAUUUAGCAAUGCGAUACUAAAGGAUCUAAUCAUAAACUGCCCAAGAAUCUUCUAUAUGAGGACCCUUACUGUGGUCAAGCAAUCGACACCAUCUCCUUUAGCUCAUGGAGUUGGAGAGGGAAUCAAGGCUUUUCUUUGAUAUCAAGUAUUUGUAAGAAUGUGUGAGCAAUGGAGACUGGGAGUAGGUGGAGAAGUAUUUAUCACGGUUCACAAAUGCAGAGGAUAACCCUGAAUCCUUUAGCAUUUUCUUUGAGAUAAGAAGGCAGAAUUAUUAUGAACCACAUGACAAGGGUGAUCGUAAAAUGAUGCUGGACAUUCUUAAAAGGGACCUCGAAGUGUUUACUCUUUCCCAAGUAGAUCUUUACAGGGGACUUGUACUCCUUUUCUAACUGAAUAACUUUCGAUGCAUAUAACAACGUCUUUUUUGUUCUCAUUGAUUGAUGCAAGUGAUUAUGGUGAUUAUUUUUGUAGUAUGGAUGAGUUGCAAUUGGUAACUCUGUAUUGGAAGUGAAGUUUCUUAGAAUGGUAUGACUAGAAGAAUGCCUUUAAUUGCCCCCUAUAAACUGAGGUAAAAUGUGAUAUUUGGAUUUGAAACUGAGGCAAGCAAGAUGUUUCGGGGUCAAAAUAAGGCAUUAUGGAUGCAGGGACUGCUAAACCAGAAAAUCCUAAGGUGGAAGGAGUGGUUGAUUUGUUUUCAAAAUAAUGUGUGUGCAAACUGUAUAAGAGGAUUCAUCUUGCUUGCCUUAUUUUGUGUACAAACUGUAUAAGAGCAUUCAAAAUAAUAUGUGUGCAAACUGUAUAAGAGCAAAUUGUAUAAGAGGAUUCAAGAUAAUGUGUGUGCAAACUGUAUAAGAGAAGACAUCUCCAUGUUUUUUCCAUUUUGUCAAUGUCUCCUUUGUACUCCGUAGAAUUUUUCAAUCUGGCCUUUUCUGGUACUUGUAAGAUUUUUUAGGCUUUGUAAGAGUGUGUGUUAUAGAUAUAUAAGAGGUUGAUUUUUUUAGGCCUUGUAAGAGUGUGCGUUGGGAAGAGUGUAUGUUGGUAAGAGUGUGUAUUGGUAAGAUUUUUUUGGGCCUUGUAAGAGUGUGUGUUGGUAAGA